UUGUUAUGGUGAAUUAAUACGUGGGUAAAAUAAUUAUUAAUAAUUGUGAAUUAAGAUCUAAAGAGACAGAAUAUAGUAGUAUUUAAUUGUUUGCUGAUGCUUGUCGAUUGAUUCGAGAGCAAAAUGGACGUGAGAGCGGACGAGGACGAGGCCCCUCCAGAUCCGGCGGCGCGGAAGUACAAGCAUCAUGAUUACACCGAACAAGAUUUUGAAGGUCAUCGAGCACACACUGUGUUCGUGGGAGUGCACGUACCGGCUCGACGACACUCCCACCGAAAGCAUAAGCAUCAUCAUCGCAACAACGAUAAAGAUAACGAUAAACCUGGGUCAGCGCUAUUGUCUCGAGUCAGAAGACUGAGCGUCACAGAUGAUGGAGAAACAUUAACACCACCCGCACAAAGGGUACAAUUCAUACUUGGGGAAGAUGUUGACGAUGCUUCAUUCGAAUCCCAUCCACUUUUCUCUGAGAUGGAAGAACUAGUUAAAGAUGGGGACGAACUUGAAUGGAAAGAGACAGCGCGAUGGAUUAAGUUUGAAGAGGAUGUGGAAGAAGGUGGUAAUCGCUGGUCGAAACCACACGUCGCAACAUUAUCUUUACAUUCUCUUUUUGAACUCCGAAGCCUACUAUUAAACGGUGCAGUCAUAUUAGAUAUGGAUGCUAAUUCUUUAGAUCAAGUAGCUGAAAAUGUUUUGGAUUAUAUGGUAGGAGAUGGAUCUCUAGGUUAUGAUUGUAGAGAAAAAGUGAAAGAUGCCCUUUUAAGAAGACAUCGGCACCAGCAUGAGAAACGAAAUCAUAACAAUAUGUCAAAACUUCCCUUAAUCCGAUCUUUAGCGGACAUCGGAAGAAAUCAUUCAUCUUGCAAAAAUUUCCAGGAAACUGGGUCUCGGCGUACAAGCGCAAGGAAUAGUAACACUUCGUCACCUCAGACGGCAUUACUACAUGCGCCAGAUGCCAGAGGCUCUUAUCUAGCUGUUCCAGUGGAAGAAAGCAGUACCGGUGGACAUUCUCAGAAGGGAGAUUUGAGUCGUUUCCUAGGAAUACCUAGCGCGGGUGGAGCUCCUGAUGAAUGCAUGGUAAAAAGCCCGAGUAACAUUUCAAUGCCACGCAAUCAUAGUUCCAGUGAUCUUCCUGUUAAUGGUGAUAUUAAUCAUAAAAGCAACACAAAUUUUAUGCGCAAAAUACCACCAGGUGCUGAAGCAUCUAAUAUCCUAGUCGGUGAAGUAGAUUUUCUAGAAAAGACGCUAUCAGCAUUCGUAAGGUUGAAGACAGGUACAAUUAUGGGAGAUCUUACCGAAGUACCAGUACCCACUAGAUUCAUGUUCGUUUUAUUAGGACCGCCAAACAGUAACUCAAGCUUUCAUGAAAUCGGUCGAGCUAUGGCUACUCUUAUGUCCGAUGAAAUUUUUCAUGAAGUAGCAUACAGAGCCAAGAAAAGAGAUCAUUUACUGGCUGGAAUAGAUGAGUUUCUCGACGCAGUUACAGUAUUACCCCCUGGAGAAUGGGAUCCUGCAAUUCGUAUCGAGCCACCGGCUGCAAUCCCGUCGCAAGAUAUUCGUAAAAGACCUAAUGAUAGUAUUCAAAAAGAAGAACCAGACGAAGAAGAAGAAGAGCAAAGACAAAGGGAAGAAUCAGGUUUAGCUAGAACUGGACGGUUAUUUGGAGGUUUAAUUAAUGAUCUGAAAAGAAAAAGGCCUUGGUAUUGGUCAGAUUUUAAAGAUGCUUUUGCACUUCAAUGUGUAGCAUCGUGGAUUUUCUUAUAUUUCGCGUGUUUGUCACCAAUAAUAACUUUUGGAGGCUUACUAGGAGAAGCUACUGGGAAAAAUAUGGCUGCUAUGGAGUCACUCGUAUCUGGAUUUGUUUGUGGUAUGGGCUACGGCUUUUUCUCCGGACAACCAUUGACAAUCUUGGGAUCGACCGGUCCAGUAUUAGUAUUUGAGACAAUUGUGUUUGAAUUUUGCAAACAGAUUGGCUGGAAUUAUAUGUCUUUCAGAUUCUGUAUUGGUACCUGGACUACCAUAAUAUUAAUUACUUUAGUCGCAAUCGAUGCCAGUGCAUUUGUUUGCUAUAUAACACGAUUUACUGAAGAAAAUUUCGCAACACUUAUAGCAUUUAUUUUUAUUUACAAGGCUGUUGAAAAUGUUAUAUCUAUUGGUAAAAAGUUUCCACUGAGGACGCACGCAGCAGAAGUUCUUAAUUAUGAAUGUUACUGUUCACCAAGUAAUUAUUCUAAAGUUCCAGAGGAGUUUAAUUGGACGACCGUUGAAAAAGAGUCUUGCCAGCUUUACAAUGGAACUUUGAUCGGUGCUGGAUGCGAAACAAAAGUAUAUGUUCCAGAUGUUUUUCUGAUGUCAAUAAUAUUAUUCCUGGGUACAUUUACAAUUUCGAUAAUUUUAAAAGAUUUUAAAAAUUCCUUAUUCUUUCCAUCUAAGGUGAGGCAAAUAAUAAGCGACUUUUCAGUAAUCAUAGCGAUUCUGUCAAUGUCUUUCUUGGAUUAUAAAGUGGGAGUCAAAACGCCGAAGCUUGAAGUACCUUCAGAGUUUAAGCCAACGCUGCCAACCAGAAAUUGGGUCAUUACCCCAUUCAAUGGAAAUCCCAUCUGGUCUGCCUUAGUAGCAAUUUUGCCUGCACUUCUGGGUACAAUUCUGAUAUUUAUGGAUCAACAAAUAACAGCUGUAAUUGUUAACCGGAAAGAGAAUAAGCUGAAGAAGGGAUGCGGAUAUCACUUAGACUUGUUUGUAUUGGCUAUAUUGAUACAAGUGUGCUCAGUUAUGGGACUGCCUUGGUUUGUGGCUGCCACAGUUCUCAGUAUCAAUCACGUCAAUUCACUAAAAGUUGAAUCGGAAUGUGCUGCGCCCGGUGAGAAACCGCAAUUUUUAGGAGUCAGAGAACAAAGGAUGACACACAUUAUGAUAUUCUUAACAAUCGGUUGCUCCGUUGUUCUGACACCAGUUUUAAGACAUAUACCUAUGCCUGUACUAUUUGGAGUAUUUCUGUAUAUGGGUGUCGCAUCCCUGAAAGGCUUACAAUUCUUUGACAGGAUUCUAAUAAUGUUUAUGCCACAGAAGUAUCAACCAGAUCACAUGUUCCUGAGACAGGUGCCAAUUCGUCGGGUACAUUUAUUCACAGCAAUACAAUUAACGUGCUUGGUGUGUCUUUGGGUAAUAAAGUCAUUCUCAAUGACGUCUAUACUGUUUCCAUUGAUGCUUGUGGUCAUGAUCGGGAUUCGGAAGAUGUUAGAUUUGUUCUUUACUCAAAGAGAAAUGAAGAUAUUGGAUGACGUAAUGCCGGAGAUGUCACGGCGGAAUCAAGAUGAACUCCAUGAGCUUGGAGACGCAGAGGUACCUAAUAAGAGUAACCCACCUCCAUAUCAAGAAAAUUUACAAAUACCUCUUAUAAAUGGAAAUAUUAUGAAUAUACCGUUGACUUCAAUAAAUAUAUCUGAGGAGGUAAAUAAGACGGGCAUUUGGAAGCAAGUGAACAGUAGCAAUAAAAUGGCUCCAACAAGUGAUACUAAAGAUUUUAAAGUGAAAUCAGGGAAGAAAAAUAAUAAACACAAGAAACUAAUGUCAAAAAACGCACAAUCAGAAAUCGAAAGGAGACUAUCAACUAUGGACGAAGUUGAGGAAGACGAUCCAAUAUCGAAGGUGUGCAUUGAUGACACGAAAUUUUGAACAGGCAUGCCAUCCCAUGAGUAGACAGGAGGAUCACAGCAUGGCAGCAUGAAGCACGAGUGACAUGUUAAGGAGGUUGGAUUCUUGGAGUGGUGGAAAGAAAUGCGACCCAAGAAGAAAUAGUACCUCCACUGAAACAUCCGUGUAAAAUAUUACUAACCGUGGACUUCC